rnacentral:rRNA from 1 species
CAGGGUUAUGAUAUUAGCUUCCUCAUAACAAACUACCACUGUGAGGACAUGCACAAGCAUAAGCUCAUAGAUUUCAUUGUUCAGUUUAUGGAGGACAUUGACAAGGAGAUCAGCGAGCUGAAGCUGUCGGUGAACACACAUGGCCGGCUGGUGGCAACCGAGUUCCUAAAGCAGUUCAUCUGA